GACAGAGGGUGCUAGCGUUGUUCGGAAUCAUUGGGCGUAAAGCGCGCGUAGGCGGCGAAGCAAGUCGGAUGUGAAAGCCCUGGGCUUAACCGAGGAAGUGCAUCCGAAACUGCUUUGCUUGAGUGCCGGAGAGGGUGGUGGAAUUCCCAGUGUAGAGGUGAAAUUCGUAGAUAUUGGGAGGAACACCAGUGGCGAAGGCGACCACCUGGACGGACACUGACGCUGAGGUGCGAAAGCGUGGGGAG
rnacentral:rRNA from 1 species